rnacentral:lncRNA from 1 species
UCUCUCUCUCUCUCUCUCUCUCUCUCUCGUCGUCGCCACGGGGGAGCUGGGCAUAGGGGGGACAAGGAGAGAGCUUAAUGGUGUCAUGCUCAACGUAAUGCCCGAGGAGAGAGCAAAUAGUAGGGCUCUGUUGGGGGGAGGCCGAUCGGCUUCUGCGGCAUUAAGAUGCUCGUAGAAACGGGCAUCUACUUACGCCGCCCUCUCUUGGCCGUGAUAAACGAGGAGCAUUCAAUGUGGUCUUAAAAAACU